GAUGAACGCUGGCGGCGUGCCUAAUACAUGCAAGUCGAGCGAACAGACGAGGAGCUUGCUCCUCUGACGUUAGCGGCGGACGGGUGAGUAACACGUGGAUAACCUACCUAUAAGACUGGGAUAACUUCGGGAAACCGGAGCUAAUACCGGAUAAUAUAUUGCACCGCAUGGUUCGAUAGUGAAAGACGGUUUUGCUGUCACUUAUAGAUGGAUCCGCGCCGCAUUAGCUAGUUGGUAAGGUAACGGCUUACCAAGGCAACGAUGCGUAGCCGACCUGAGAGGGUGAUCGGCCACACUGGAGCUGAGACACGGUCCAGACUCCUACGGGAGGCAGCAGUAGGGAAUCUUCCGCAAUGGGCGAAAGCUUGACGGAGCAACGCCGCGUGAGUGAUGAAGGUCUUCGGAUCGUAAAACUCUGUUAUUAGGGAAGAACAAAUGUGUAAGUAACUAUGCACGUCUUGACGGUACCUAAUCAGAAAGCCACGGCUAACUACGUG
rnacentral:rRNA from 1 species